rnacentral:rRNA from 1 species
AGAGUUUGAUCCUGGCUCAGAUUGAACGCUAGCGGGAUGCUUUACACAUGCAAGUCGAACGGCAGCGCGGACUUUCGGUCUGGCGGCGAGUGGCGAACGGGUGAGUAAUGUAUCGGAACGUACCCAGUAGCGGGGGAUAACUACGCGAAAGCGUGGCUAAUACCGCAUACGCCCUACGGGGGAAAGGGGGGGAUCGCAAACCUCCCACUAUUGGAGCGGCCGAUAUCGGAUUAGUUAGUUGGUGGGGUAAAGGCCCACAAGACGGCGAUCCGUAGCUGGUUUGAGAGGACGACCAGCCACACUGUGACUGGGACACGGCCCAGACUCCUACGGGAGGCAGCAGUGGGGAAUUUUGGACAAUGGGGGCAACCCUGAUCCAGCCAUCCCGCGUGUGCGAUGAAGGCCUUCGGGUUGUAAAGCACUUUUGGCAGGGAAGAAACGGCCUUGGGUAAUAUCGAGGUCACUGACGGUACCUGCAGAAUAAGCACCGGGCUAACUACGUGCCAGCAGCCGCGGAAUACGUAGGGUGCGAGCGUUAAUCGGAAUUACUGGGCGUAAAGCGUGCGCAGGCGGUUCGGAAAGAAAGAUGUGAAAUCCCAGAGCUUAACUUUGGAACUGCAUUUUUAACUCCCGAGCUAGAGUGUGUCAGAGGGGGGUAGAAUUCCACGUGUAGCAGUGAAAUGCGUAGAGAUGUGGAGGAAUACCGAUGGCGAGGCAGCCCCCUGGGAUAACACUGACGCUCAGGCACGAAAGCGUGGGGAGCAAACAGGAUUAAUACCCUGGUAGUCCACGCCCUAAACGAUGUCAACUAGCUGUUGGGGGCUUCGGCCCUUAGUAGCGCAGCUAACGCGUGAAGUUGACCGCCUGGGGAGUACGGUCGCAAGAUUAAAACUCAAAGGAAUUGACGGGGACCCGCACAAGCGGUGGAUGAUGUGGGAUUAAUUCGAUGCAACGCGAAAAACCUUACCUACCCUUGACAUGUCUGGAAUCCUUUAGAGAUAGAGGAGUGCUCGCAAGAGAACUGGAACACAGUGCUGCAUGGCUGUCGUCAGCUCGUGUCGUGAGAUGUUGGGUUAAGUCCCGCAACGAGCGCAACCCUUGUCAUUAGUUGCUACGAAAGGGCACUCUAAUGAGACUGCCGGUGACAAACCGGAGGAAGGUGGGGAUGACGUCAAGUCCUCAUGGCCCUUACGGCCAGGGCUACACACGUACUACAAUGGUCGGUACGAGGGUUGCGAAGCCGCGAGGUGGAGCCAAUCCCAGAAAGCCGAUCCCAGUCCGGAUCGAAGUUGCAACUCGACUUCGUGAAGUCGGAAUCGCUAGUAAUCGCGGAUCAGCUAUGCCGCGGUGAAUACGUUCCCGGGCCUUGUACACACCGCCCGUCACACCAUGGGAGUGGNGUUGCUCCAGAAGGCGUUAGUCUAACCGCAAGGAGGACGACGCCCACGGAGUGAUUCAUGACUGGGGUGAAGUCGUAACAAGGUAACC